UUUGCUUUUGCUGCCUGAUGAUAGCGUUGUUUCUUCUGCCAGUUCUUUAAUCAGGAUCCUUUUUUAUUCUGGUUGGUCUCGGGAUCGGGUUGUCUCCUUCUAAGGGACCUUCUCUCUUGCGGAACCUCUGCAACUUCCCCUCUUUUUUGCCUCCCAUUAGACUCACAAAAGGCACAAAGGCAGAGGGUGAUAGCGAGCGAGCGAGCGAGAGAGGGGGCUACCUCUCGCUCCUUUCUUCAUUUACCUGCUACCCUUUCGUUUUCUCGGCACGCCAUUUUCGUACCUCUGCCUCUUUCUCUCCCUCUGCAUCUCUUUUGGUCUCUGCCAAGUUCUCUCUCUCCAUUGCUUGUUCUCUUUCUGUCUGAUUGUUUUUCUCUUGAGCUUCUCUCUCUGGAUCAACGUCAGUCUGUCGAGAAGCCGUUGCUGCCUGCCUUACCUGCUUAUCUCUACCCUACCCCGAGAAUUUUUUCCGUCUAGCCACCUGCAGAAGAACGGGCUGAGCAAUUUCAUUUUCUCCUCAAACUGGUGUAUCAAAGUCUGGUCUUAAUCGAGUGGAAGGGGCCGAAUGUUUUCAAUAGUAGUAACAGGACCGCUCUGUACUGUUGAGAAGUUGAAACAAAGGGAUACAAGUCCUGUCAAAAUUUACAUUUUUAUUCGAUCCUGGGUGCAGGACACUGUGUGCGUCUAGUUCAGCCUGCAUAGCACUGAAGAUGAUUGGGGACAGUCAUUGGUUGAGCUAUUUGCAUUGAAUAUGCAGUUGAUGUUCUAAAUGUGGACAGUUGAAUCUUAAGUCUCACUGAGUAACCAAAUGCUUCAGACGACUUUUAAGUUGUGAACAAGGAAGAUGGUGUCAAGCCUAGCAAUAUUGUUCAUCAGGCUUUUGCAGACAAUAUUGCUCCUGGGAACCAACCUGUAUUCAUUGACUUAACAGGAAUCUGGUUGGGGUAACAUUAUCAGUUCACCCCAUAAUUUUUUUGAUUUGUCCGGAAUCUGGUUGGGAUAAUGAUAUCAGUUCAUAUUUGAGUACUUCUUCUGUGUAGGUGUGUUGUUGUAUGGCAUUCACACUUGGAUGAUAUUGAAUCUUCCAAGCAGUUCAAUCUUUAGAGAAGAUAGUCAUGGCUACAUAUUUCCCUGGUUCCAGUAGUCAAAAUGAUGUUAUGCCUACCUUAUACCUGAAGGAUGGUAGUCAGAACCCCUUCCCAGAUUCGGCACUUCCAGGGCACGUGAUGUAUAUGAACUAUUCAAGUGCCAGUACAUAUACAAACAACUUGCCAGGCCACCCUCGAUCUCCACAAAAUUGUGUUGAACUUCCUGCAGCUGGCAGUAUGGUAUCACAGGAUUCACACGUGGAGGUCUCACGUCCAACUGCAUCAUACCCAGGCAUCAUCUCCAAUUUGGUUGCACCUCGCCUUGAGGAAAGCAUUUUGAAUACCUGGAGGGAUGGUAGGAAUGAAAUGUUUAUGCAACCAAGAGUUACACUUACCAAUAUGUUGGGCAUUAGAGAACAAAUAAAUGGUGGUAAUGAUUUGGCACGUAACACUUUGAAUCUGAACCCCGAGGUGGGUAUGGGGACACCGUUGAGCAUCUUGCAAGGUGGACAAGGUUUGCAAGUGCAACGGGCCGAUGUAGCAGCUGUGCAAGGGCAAGGGCUAUCUUUGAGCCUUGGCACUCACAUACCAUCUGCAAUUACAGCUUCUCCUUUCCAAUUUCAUCAUGAAAAUCCUGAUGUUCCAUUUGUAGGUUCCCAGAGUUUGGAGAAUGAAGCUCACAAAAAUGAUGGAUUCAGUUGUAAGCAACCAAGUGGCAUUAAAUUUCCACCUGCCUUUUCAGGGACUGAUCAGAUAGCAAAAGGGGAUACUGUAAACAAUUUUCAACCGCCCCUAGUGGUAAAACAGAUGCAUAUGGGUGGGUCUUCAUAUGGAUUGACAAAUCUUGCAAGUACUAUUACUAAUUCCAAGUAUCUCAAGGCAGCGCAGCAGUUACUCGAUGAGGUUGUAAAUGUUCGAAAUGCUUUGAGAUCUGAGACGAACAAGGGCCAAAGCUUUCAGACAUCCACUGGUGAGAUGGAUACAAGAAAAAAUGCUUCUGGUAACCCAUCCUCCACUGGGUUGGCUCAAGAAUCGAUGCAAAGUGUCUCCAAUGAGUUGUCACCAGCUGAAAGGCAGGAGAUGCAAGCAAAAUUGACACAGCUUUUGUCUAUGCAGGAUGAGGUUGACAGAAGAUACAAGCAAUAUUAUCAUCAAAUGCAGAUUGUCGUUUCAUCCUUUGAUGUAAUUGCUGGAUGUGGUGCUGCUAAAACAUACACCACACUUGCCCUUCAAACUAUUUCAAGGCACUUCCGCUGUUUGCGAGAUGCAAUAAGUGGCCAAGUUCAGGCUGCUAGAAAGAAUCUUGGUGAGCAGGAUCCGUCAAAUGGCAAGGGUGGUGGCAUAACUCGGCUUCGGUUUGUAGAUCAACAGCUUAGGCAACAGAGGGCUCUGCAACAGCUUGGAAUGUUGCAACAGCAUGCUUGGAGGCCACAGAGGGGCUUACCAGAAAGUUCCGUCUCCAUUCUCCGUGCUUGGCUUUUUGAGCACUUCCUUCAUCCUUAUCCCAGUGACUCUGAUAAACUAAUGCUUGCAAGGCAAACGGGCUUGAGUAGAAGCCAGGUGUCAAAUUGGUUCAUAAAUGCCCGAGUUCGACUUUGGAAGCCAAUGGUUGAGGAGAUGUAUAAAGAGGAAAUUGGUGAGGCUGAGGCAGAUUCAAAUUCAUCAUCUGAAAAUGCAGCUAAAGAUGAUGAUUCGAAAAGAGAUCCUAAAGAAACAGAGCUACAGGGUAACAGACAGACUACUGCAGACAAAAAUCUUGCUAGUGAAAACAGAGGAUUAAAGACGAACUUUAUCUUGGAUACCGAACUAGCGAGUGCUGAUGAACUCAAUAAUAGCCCUCAUGUUGUUGAAGAUAGCAGCAACUAUGGGAACACAAAAUUCAGGGACCAGAGAUCUCGUACGGACCAGUGCAAUCCUCUCCAAGAUGCUCUUUUGCAUUCUGAUACUGGUGAGAGGUUCAUUUCAUACCAAAUGGCAGGUUUAGGGAGAUUAGAGAAUGAUUCUUACACUGCAAAGGGACGUGCCAAUGGUGGUGUUUCACUCACUCUGGGGUUGCAACAUUGUGAUGGUGGCCAGCUAGCAGUGUCCAGUGAACCACAAACCUUUGUGGCAACCCAAGGGGAGGAUAUGUACAAUUCAACUUCUGUUAGCACAACCACUUCCAAUUAUGAGUUCAUGAAUAUGGGGAGCAGAACACAAAGAUAUUCGAAGAACUGUGAUCCUCAAAGAAGAUUGGCAACUCAAUUUCAAUAAAUUAAGAUUCAGAACGUUUUCCCCUAUAGCAGCCUCUCUCGGUUGCUCGAACUGCUGCACACCCUCAAAAUUCAAGAUUACCAGCCACGAAAAGGCACCGUUGACUGCAACAAAAGGGUUAUUCAUCAAUCAUUACACGGGUGGACCCUGCGAGGCGCAGAAGCAAAGAAGCGACACACUUUCAACUGACAAAAUCUUCCACUCAGGCGGCCUUCACCGCAUUUAAUUACACAAAGUGGUAAAUGGGCUCGUGUAACUUGCAGACCAAACUGAGCUUUCUCUUUUGUUGAGGAAACAUGGGCUCAAUUUUCAAGAGAAUAUUAGUGGGCCACGGUCAGAAGUUCAGCACUCGAUCCAGUUCAUGGCUGCAAAGCACGAAUCAUGAUAUUCCUGCAUAAAGCCAACGUAUCUAACAGCACGCAGGGAGAUGAUGGCAGUGUUGCACUCAGAGAGAAUUGGGUAAAGGGCAGUUCUUUGUCCCAUCACUUUCUGUCCCUGUUAGAAGGAGAGCGCCUCCUGUCAGCAUUCGGGGAAAAUAUAUUCCCCUUUCCCUUCGACGAUAAAAGAGCUCUUGCACCAUCGCUACCUGUCAUCAAUCUUGCCCAUGGUGUCAACAUCAUUCACAAAAGCUCUUCUUUUAUUUUCACAAAAGGUUACAGAGAGAGAUUAUUGAUGCACGACACUGACGAAGCAGCGCGGGCCAUUGGCAUUACUUUGAGGGGAACAUGGAAUGAGAGACAGAGAGGGUUCGUUUGUCCUUAUGUCAUGCUGCCAUCUGAUAUCAAAUUCUGGGACCGGUGGUCUUUGCCAUCUUUAUCUGCAAACGUUACUUCUUCAGUCUUAUAAGGACAAGCUGCUCCUUCUCCCAUGCUUGAUUCCUUGUGUAUUGUUCACUUUCAAUAGUUACUUUACACGGUGGGAACAUUUUUUAAAGCAAAAAGAGUUCUUUGAUUGAAGAGGAGCACUACUGGGUUAGUGGCCACUUUCCAUGACAAAUGUUGGUUUUUUUUCCCUGUUCCCGAGAAG